ACCCCAAAUGCAAGUAGAGAAACGAACAACUUACAGAAAGGAAAGACGUCAUAGUUAUUAUGGCGUACCAGAUACAAAUCUUAUGCUUGUGAAUCAAGAUUUAGUUUCAAAACCCCAAACGCAAGUAAAGAAACAAGUAGCUUCUAGAGAGGAAAGACGCAAUACAUUUCCUCUUGAAAACGAGAGAAAUGAUACAGUAAGAGUUGAAACUCUACCUCCUGAGAAAAAAGCUUUAUUUUCAAGAAACCAAUCUCAAACUAAGAAACUUGGAGCUACCAGAAAGAAUCUUGAUACUCAGAAAGCAAAAGACAUACUAGAUGAAAAUCUUUUACCUGACGAUGAAGUUGAAUUGUCAAAAAGCCAAUCUCAAACUAAGAUGCUUAGAGCUGUCAAAAUGGAAACCCUAAAUAGUAAGUAUG
rnacentral:lncRNA from 1 species